rnacentral:rRNA from 1 species
CAGCAGCCGCCGCGGUAAUACAGAGGGUGCGAGCGUUAAUCGGAUUUACUGGGCGUAAAGCGUGCGUAGGCGGCUUUUUAAGUCGGAUGUGAAAUCCCUGAGCUUAACUUAGGAAUUGCAUUCGAUACUGGGAAGCUAGAGUAUGGGAGAGGAUGGUAGAAUUCCAGGUGUAGCGGUGAAAUGCGUAGAGAUCUGGAGGAAUACCGAUGGCGAAGGCAGCCAUCUGGCCUAAUACUGACGCUGAGGUACGAAAGCAUGGGGAGCAAACAGGAUUAGAUACCCCUGUAGUCCCUGUCUCUUAUAC